GGCUUAAUGAAUAAUAAUUUUAAGUCGAUCUGCCCAAUGAUUAAUAUUUAAUGGCUGCAGUAUAUCUGACUGUACAAAGGUAGCAUAAUCGAUUGUUUUUUAAUUGGAAACUGGAAUGAAAGAAUUAAUGAGAUAUAUACUGUCUCAUAUAUAUUUAAUGAAUUUAAAUUUUUAGUAAAAAUGCUUAAAUAGUUUUAUGGGACGAUAAGACCCUAUAGAAUUUUAUAUUAAUUAAUAGAUAAUAUAAUAAGUUAUUUUAUAAAUUAAUAUUUAGUUGGGAGGAUUGGUAAAUUAAUUUAACUUUAUUUUAUAUUUUAACUUUGAUUUAAGAAUUAAUAAUGUUCUUGUAUUAUAAAUUAAAAGAGUAAAUUACCUUAGGGAUAACAGCGUAAUAUCUUUUGAAAGAUCAUAUUAAUAAAGAUGUUUGCGACCUCGAUGUUGAAUUAAGAUAAAUUUUAAAUGCAGAAGUUUAAUAAUUAAGUCUGUUCGACUUUUAAAAUCUUACAUGAUUUGAGUUCAAAUCGACGUGAGU
rnacentral:rRNA from 1 species